GGCCCAGUGGUGUACUGCUAACACAUCCUCUCCAAUUGUGGCGGGCAUUCGAAACUGAAUAUAUGAGGAAGCACCCCGUUCGACUCGGGGCUGGGCCA